ensembl:lncRNA
UGGGUCUUCACUGCACGAGGGCUUUCUCUAGCAGUCGGUGGCGGCUGCUCUGGCUGCAGUGCACAGGCUUCUCUUUGCAGCGGCUUCUCUUGAUGGUGGAGCAUGGGCUCUGGGCAUGCGAGCCUCUGUAGUUGCAGCACGUGGGCUCAGUAGCUGUGGUGCAGAGGCUUACUUGCUCUGAGACAUGUGGGAUCCUCCCAGGCCAGGGAUUGAUCCUGUGUCCCCUGCAUCGGCAGGCAGAUUCCCACCCACUGGACCACCAGGGAAGCUGGCAAAGUGGAUUCUUACCACUGGAACGCCUGGGAAGUCCCAACCGACACGGAGGUGACUGAGUGGCAGCGUGGAGAGGGUGGUGCCGUGCUGCCCAGGGCCACAGGGAGAAGCAGCAGGUCCAGCGGAGGCCGGGCCUGGAGUGAGGGGAGUGAGGGGAGAGAGCGGGCGGAGCUUGUAUUAUGAAGGCAGGGAGACAGCAAGUAAGAGCCAUUAGAGGAGGUGGCUCAGAGUGUGGGUGCUGGAUUGGUUGGUUUUCCUGUGAGAGUCAUGGUUCUUGAUGGGUUCUUGAUGCUGUCUCUCAGAGUUGCUUGCCAAGGGAAUGUAUUCAUGUACGUGCACGGCUGAGUCCCCUCGCUGUUCACCUGAAACUGUCACAGCAUUGUUAACUGGCUAUACCCCAAUACAAAAAAAGAGUUUUUAAAAAAUUCAGACCCCCCCCAAAAGAAUUUGCUGCCAAGGAAGGGCCAUCUCUUCCCUGUCAGGGAGGGUCCCAAAAUAUCAAAGUGUCGCAAAAUACAAAAAACAUUAUUAAACAAGCUCAUUAUAGCAUUCUGGCUACAGGUUUUUACUCUCAAAAUGAGUAUUUCUCUGCAGGGGGUGAGCCUGGGGCACCCCCCUCUGUGGGUGCAGACCCACUGUUUCAGUUGGGGAGCAAAGAGACAGCUCUGCAGAGCGGGGUGCUGCUGGGCAGAAAGAUCAGGCCUGAUGACAGUAGCGCCGCCUGAAGAAGCCGGCCUGGCUCAUGAGGCUGACUUGGCUCUGUGGCCCUUACGGGCAGGAAUGGAGCUUGCAACGUGGAUUACCUCUAGCGUUCUACCUCUAGGAAUCUUUUAAAACCCUGCAGGUUGACCUUCAUUGUUUAAUAUGCUCUUGUAAUGUGAACGGUUUGAUCAAGUUUCCCACUGGCGUAUCUUCUCUCAUCCUGCUGACCCGUUCCCCACCCCUGUCCCAUACACACAAUUUCCCACUGAACUCUGGGGAAAAAAACUUACCAGGUCAGAGAGUUGUAUUUGUAUAUUGCUUUUUUCAUGCUAGCAGAGGAUGGUGUCAUCAUAGCAUCUCAAUUUGAUUGUUUUGGAAUGAUUUUACAAGUUAAGAAUUUGAUGUGUAUUUUUUUUUCUAUUUAAUCAGAAGGGCAUGUUUGAACAUAAGUCAAUGGAGAUAAACUCACAAAUCAUGCUUUUUCUAUUCAGAGAUAGGCAAUGUGUUUUCACGUUCAUAAAAUGUAGAUGAUUCCUCUGGCUUUCCUUUUAUUUCCUGAGUUCAAAUCAGAAUUCAGGGUGUAAUGACAGUAUGUGACACUUCUUGUUGCUUAAGCGAGACCAGACUUCAGUGUUGUGAUGUUUACUUCAUGUAUUCUUGUCCUGUUCACUUUCUUUCACUGGAAAUGUAUAUCUAACAUGUGGUAUUUGUUGUAAAUAAAAGCGUUGUAAAUGUCCUUUAAUAAAUAAUUGUACCCAAGUCAUAGGAUAGAAUGGAAAUUAGAUCAAAUCAAUAUGCAGGAUAUUGUAUGAUUUUCCAUGGAUGCUGUCCAACCAGUUACCACAAACUUGGUGGUGGUGAACAACAGAAAUUUAUCAUUUUCAAGUUC